rnacentral:misc_RNA from 1 species
GAAAUGCGAUAAGUAAUGUGAAUUGCAGAUUUUCAGUGAAUCUUUGAAUCUUUGAACGCACCUUACACUCCUUGGUAUUCCGAGGAGCAUGCCUGUCUGAGUGUCAUUAAAUCCUCAACCCUCCCUUGUGGGUGUGGCUUGGACUUGGAGCGUGCUGGCGAAGGUCGGCUCCUCUUUAAAUGCAUCAGCGGAAAGCUUUUCUGGCCGUUCGGUGUGAUAAUACUGUUGCGCCGUGGAAGCCUCUGUAAAGGCCUCGCUUACAAUCGUCUUCGGACAAACAACAUCUCAGUCAAAUCAGGUAGGACUACCUGCUGAACUUAA